rnacentral:piRNA from 1 species
UCCAAAUUCAUCAAUCAACUC